GGGGAUCGAAAGACCUUGCGCUAAAGGAGCGGCCGAUGUCUGAUUAGCUAGUUGGUGGGGUAAAGGCUUACCAAGGCAACGAUCAGUAGUUGGUCUGAGAGGACGGCCAACCACACUGGGACUGAGACACGGCCCAGACUCCUACGGGAGGCAGCAGUGGGGAAUUUUGGACAAUGGGCGAAAGCCUGAUCCAGCCAUGCCGCGUGAGUGAAGAAGGCCUUCGGGUUGUAAAGCUCUUUUAGUCGGAAAGAAAGAGUCGCAAUGAAUAAUUGUGAUUUAUGACGGUACCGACAGAAAAAGCACCGGCUAACUACGUGCCAGCAGCCGCGGUAAUACGUAGGGUGCGAGCGUUAAUCGGAAUUACUGGGCGUAAAGGGUGCGCAGGCGGUUUUGCAAGUCAGAUGUGAAAGCCCCGGGCUUAACCUGGGAAUUGCGUUUGAAA
rnacentral:rRNA from 1 species